GUCACCUGCCAGUCAAUUUGCAAUCAGCCUGCCUCUGAGUCUGUGGCACCAGGUCAAACCAUUAAACUCUCCUGUACUACUAGUGAUACUGGUUCCUACAUUGGCUGGUUUCAACAGAGAUCAGGGCAGGCACCUCGCUUUGUGCAGCGUGAGGGUGGCAGCAGGGGAGAAGGGAUCCCUGAUCGAUUCACGGCUUCUCGCUCUGGGAACAUUGGCUAUUUAACCAUCACCAACGUCCAGGCUGGAGAUGAGGCCGUUUAUUACUGUUGCAGAUGGUAUAGCAGUGCUAGUGCGUUC